rnacentral:rRNA from 1 species
GACAGAGGGUGCAAACGUUUGUUCGGAAUUACUGGGCGUAAAGCGCGUGUAGGCUGCUUCGAAAGUCGGAUGUGAAAGCCCUGGGCUCAACCUAGGAAGUGCAUUCGAAACUUCGGAGCUUGAGUUCUGGAGAGGAAGGCGGAAUUCUCGGUGUAGAGGUGAAAUUCGUAGAUAUGGGGGAGGAACACCGGUGGCGAAGGCGGCCAUCUGGACGGUCACUGACGCUGAGACGCGAAAAGCGUGGGGGAGCAAACAGGG